GGUAAUGGCUUACCAAGGCGAUGAUGCAUAGCCGAGUUGAGAGACUGAUCGGCCACAAUGGGACUGAGACACGGCCCAUACUCCUACGGGAGGCAGCAGUAGGGAAUCUUCCACAAUGGGCGAAAGCCUGAUGGAGCAACGCCGCGUGUGUGAUGAAGGGUUUCGGCUCGUAAAACACUGUUGUAAGAGAAGAAUGACAUUGAGAGUAACUGUUCAAUGUGUGACGGUAUCUUACCAGAAAGGAACGGCUAAAUACGUGCCAGCAGCCGCGGUAAUACGUAUGUUCCAAGCGUUAUCCGGAUUUAUUGGGCGUAAAGCGAGCGCAGACGGUUAUUUAAGUCUGAAGUGAAAGCCCUCAGCUCAACUGAGGAAUUGCUUUGGAAACUGGAUGACUUGAGUGCAGUAGAGGAAAGUGGAACUCCAUGUGUAGCGGUGAAAUGCGUAGAUAUAUGGAAGAACACCAGUGGCGAAGGCGGCUUUCUGGACUGUAACUGACGUUGAGGCUCGAAAGUGUGGGUAGCAAACAGGAUUAGAUACCCUGGUAGUCCACACCGUAAACGAUGAGUGCUAGGUGUUUGAGGGUUUCCGCCCUUAAGUGCCGCAGCUAACGCAUUAAGCACUCCGCCUGGGGAGUACGACCGCAAGGUUGAAACUCAAAGGAAUUGACGGGGACCCGCACAAGCGGUGGAGCAUGUGGUUUAAUUCGAAGCAACGCGAAGAACCUUACCAGGUCUUGACAUCCCUUGACAACUCCAGAGAUGGAGCGUUCCCUUCGGGGACAAGGUGACAGGUGGUGCAUGGUUGUCGUCAGCUCGUGUCGUGAGAUGUUGGGUUAAGUCCCGCAACGAGCGCAACCCUUAUUACUAGUUGCCAGCAUUCAGUUGGGCACUCUAGUGAGACUGCCGGUGACAAACCGGAGGAAGGUGGGGAUGACGUCAAAUCAUCAUGCCCCUUAUGACCUGGGCUACACACGUGCUACAAUGGCGUAUACAACGAGUUGCCAACCCGCGAGGGUGAGCUAAUCUCUUAAAGUACGUCUCAGUUCGGAUUGUAGGCUGCAACUCGCCUACAUGAAGUCGGAAUCGCUAGUAAUCGCGGAUCAGCACGCCGCGGUGAAUACGUUCCCGGGUCUUGUACACACCGCCCGUCACACCAUGAGAGUUUGUAACACCCAAAGCCGGUGGGGUAACCUUCGGGAGCCAGCCGUCU
rnacentral:rRNA from 1 species